rfam:Triticum aestivum genome assembly, contig: Triticum_aestivum_CS42_TGACv1_scaffold_289630_4AL
AAUGCACUCCCUCUGUCUGGAAAUACUUGUCAGGGCAAUGGAUGUAUCUAGAUGUGUUUUAGGUCUAGAUACAUCCAUUUUUAUCCAUUUCUCUGACAAGUAUUUCUGGACGGAUGGAGUAUAUA